rnacentral:rRNA from 1 species
UGCAGUCGACGGCAGCACAGUAAGAGCUUGCUCUUAUGGGUGGCGAGUGGCGGACGGGUGAGGAAUACAUCGGAAUCUACCUUUUCGUGGGGGAUAACGUAGGGAAACUUACGCUAAUACCGCAUACGACCUUCGGGUGAAAGCAGGGGACCUUCGGGCCUUGCGCGGAUAGAUGAGCCGAUGUCGGAUUAGCUAGUUGGCGGGGUAAAGGCCCACCAAGGCGACGAUCCGUAGCUGGUCUGAGAGGAUGAUCAGCCACACUGGAACUGAGACACGGUCCAGACUCCUACGGGAGGCAGCAGUGGGGAAUAUUGGACAAUGGGCGCAAGCCUGAUCCAGCCAUACCGCGUGGGUGAAGAAGGCCUUCGGGUUGUAAAGCCCUUUUGUUGGGAAAGAAAAGCAGUCGAUUAAUACUCGGUUGUUCUGACGGUACCCAAAGAAUAAGCACCGGCUAACUUCGUGCCAGCAGCCGCGGUAAUACGAAGGGUGCAAGCGUUACUCGGAAUUACUGGGCGUAAAGCGUGCGUAGGUGGUUGUUUAAGUCUGUUGUGAAAGCCCUGGGCUCAACCUGGGAAUUGCAGUGGAUACUGGGCGACUAGAGUGUGGUAGAGGGUAGUGGAAUUCCCGGUGUAGCAGUGAAAUGCGUAGAGAUCGGGAGGAACAUCCAUGGCGAAGGCAGCUACCUGGACCAACACUGACACUGAGGCACGAAAGCGUGGGGAGC